rnacentral:sRNA from 1 species
GCUGUAUGAAUUAUAUCUCAACAUUGUAUUAGAAAAUAAAAUUAAUGAAGCAUAGAAGUUAUGGAGAAAUACUGGAAAGAAAUACAAGAACUCAAGGAAGAGACAGCCAGACAACAGUAGGCUGUGAAAUGGGAACCAGCAGAAAAAAAGAAAUGGAGAAAAAUGAUGAAGCCAUUUCAGAAGUACACAAGGGAGACUAGACACCAUGGCAAAGAUCAUAAAAGUAGAAAUGAAAUUUUAUGUUUUUGAGACAGUGUCCUUGAGUUCAGACUCUCUCUUCCAGAGGGCAGUUUCACUCCUUCAUACUUCUUACUUGGACUCUUCAUCUGAGCAUGGUUUUCAGUACAGUCAAGUGACUUUGGUGAAAAAUGACAUUUUCUUAAAUGAGUACAAAGAUUUUUACCAACAAAAAAAAACAAGUAACUAUACUCAGGAAGAACUUCAAGACACUUACGGGUUUCUUCUGUUUGAUACUGAAAAGCAGGCAAAAUUGGUAUGUCAGCGUGGACUCCGUGUUGGCAGCAGUGCUGUUACCACUCUGGGUGAUCCAGCCAAAG